rnacentral:rRNA from 1 species
GAUGAACGCUGGCGGCGUGCCUAAUACAUGCCAGUCGAGCGAACGGACGAGAAGCUUGCUUCUCUGAUGUUAGCGGCGGACGGGUGAGUAACACGUGGAUAACCUACCUAUAAGACUGGGAUAACUUCGGGAAACCGGAGCUAAUACCGGAUAAUAUUAUGAACCGCAUGGUUCAAAAGUGGAAGACGGUCUUGCUGUCACUUAUAGAUGGAUCCGCGCUGCAUUAGCUAGUUGGUAAGGUAACGGCUUACCAAGGCAACGAUGCAUAGCCGACCUGAGAGGGUGAUCGGCCACACUGGAACUGAGACACGGUCCAGACUCCUACGGGAGGCAGCAGUAGGGAAUCUUCCGCAAUGGGCGAAAGCCUGACGGAGCAACGCCGCGUGAGUGAUGAAGGUCUUCGGAUCGUAAAACUCUGUUAUUAGGGAAGAACAUAUGUGUAAGUAACUGUGCACAUCUUGACGGUACCUAAUCAGAAAGCCACGGCUAACUACAUG